rnacentral:rRNA from 1 species
GACGAACGCUGGCGGCGUGCUUAACACAUGCAAGUCGAACGGAAAGGCCCUGCUUUUGUGGGGUGCUCGAGUGGCGAACGGGUGAGUAACACGUGAGUAACCUGCCCUUGACUUUGGGAUAACUUCAGGAAACUGGGGCUAAUACCGGAUAGGAGCUCCUGCUGCAUGGCGGGGGUUGGAAAGUUUCGGCGGUUGGGGAUGGACUCGCGGCUUAUCAGCUUGUUGGUGGGGUAGUGGCUUACCAAGGCUUUGACGGGUAGCCGGCCUGAGAGGGUGACCGGCCACAUUGGGACUGAGAUACGGCCCAGACUCCUACGGGAGGCAGCAGUGGGGAAUGUUGCACAAUGGGCGGAAGCCUGAUGCAGCAACGCCGCGUGCGGGAUGACGGCCUUCGGGUUGUAAACCGCUUUCGCCUGUGACGAAGCGUGAGUGACGGUAAUGGGUAAAGAAGCACCGGCUAACUACGUGCCAGCAGCCGCGGUGAUACGUAGGGUGCGAGCGUUGUCCGGAUUUAUUGGGCGUAAAGGGCUCGUAGGUGGUUGAUCGCGUCGGAAGUGUAAUCUUGGGGCUUAACCCUGAGCGUGCUUUCGAUACGGGUUGACUUGAGGAAGGUAGGGGAGAAUGGAAUUCCUGGUGGAGCGGUGGAAUGCGCAGAUAUCAGGAGGAACACCAGUGGCGAAGGCGGUUCUCUGGGCCUUUCCUGACGCUGAGGAGCGAAAGCGUGGGGAGCGAACAGGCUUAGAUACCCUGGUAGUCCACGCUGUAAACGGUGGGUACUAGGUGUGGGGUCCAUUCCACGGGUUCCGUGCCGUAGCUAACGCUUUAAGUACCCCGCCUGGGGAGUACGGCCGCAAGGCUAAAACUCAAAGGAAUUGACGGGGCCCCGCACAAGCGGCGGAGCAUGCGGAUUAAUUCGAUGCAACGCGUAGAACCUUACCUGGGUUUGACAUGGAUCGGGAGUGCUCAGAGAUGGGUGUGCCUCUUUUGGGGUCGGUUCACAGGUGGUGCAUGGCUGUCGUCAGCUCGUGUCGUGAGAUGUUGGGUUAAGUCCCGCAACGAGCGCAACCCUUGUUCACUGUUGCCAGCACGUUAUGGUGGGGACUCAGUGGAGACCGCCGGGGUCAACUCGGAGGAAGGUGGGGAUGACGUCAAGUCAUCAUGCCCCUUAUGUCCAGGGCUUCACGCAUGCUACAAUGGCUGGUACAGAGAGUGGCGAGCCUGUGAGGGUGAGCGAAUCUCGGAAAGUCGGUCUCAGUUCGGAUUGGGGUCUGCAACUCGACCUCAUGAAGUCGGAGUCGCUAGUAAUCGCAGAUCAGCAACGCUGCGGUGAAUACGUUCCCGGGGCU